rnacentral:rRNA from 1 species
UACAGAGGUGGCAAGCGUUGUUCGGAAUUACUGGGCGUAAAGGGCGCGUAGGCGGCCAUCUAAGUCAGACGUGAAGUCCCCCGGCUUAACCUGGGAACUGCGUCUGAUACUGGACGGCUUGAGUAUGGGAGAGGGAUGUAGAAUUCCAGGUGUAGCGGUGAAAUGCGUAGAUAUCUGGAGGAAUACCGGUGGCGAAGGCGGCAUCCUGGACCAUUACUGACGCUGAGGCGCGAAAGCUAGGGGAGCAAACGGG